rnacentral:rRNA from 1 species
AAAAACAUGGCUCUUUGGUUACAUAAAUAUAAAGAGUCGAGCCUGCCCAGUGAAAAUCUUUAACGGCCGCGGUACUCUGACCGUGCAAAGGUAGCAUAAUCAUUUGCCUUAUAAUUGAAGGCUAGUAUGAAUGGUUUGACGAGAACGAUGCUGUCUCCUUAUUAUUUUCAAGAAUUUAACUUUUAGGUGAAGAGGCCUAAAUCUUAUUGAAGGACAAGAAGACCCUGUCGAGCUUAAAAGAUAUUUUAGAGUUUUAAUAUACUUUUAAAUAAAUUUUUCUAUUAAGCUUUUUAGUUGGGGCGACUAAGGAACAAAAAAAGCUUCUUACUAAAAAUAAAUAGUCAUGUUUAGAUCCGAUAAUAUCGAUCAAAGAAAUUAGUUACCGCAGGGAUAACAGCAUAAUCUCUCUUGAGAGCCCUAAUCGAAAGAGGGGGUUGUGACCUCGAUGUUGGACUAGAAUAUCCUAAAGAUGUAGAAGUCUUUAAAGGUCAGUCUGUUCGACUGUUAAAAUUCUACGUGAUCUGA